rnacentral:rRNA from 1 species
GCCUACGGCCAUACCACCCUGAAAGCGCCGAUCUCGUCUGAUCUCGGAAGCUAAGCAGGGACGGGCUUGGUUAGUACCUGGAUGGGAGACCGCCUGGGAAUACCAGGUGUUGUAGGCU